GAUGGAGUUGGAAGGAUCAGUUUUGGGGAUAAAGGCAGUCCUGACCAAGAGGAGACCCCAUUUAAUCUGAAUCCAUCACACCCAACCUAUAAUGUUACUGUCACUCAAAUUCGAGUAGGGACUACCUUAGUGGACGUAGAUUUCACAGCUCUUUUUGAUUCUGGGACAUCCUUUACAUACUUAAUUGACCCAACCUAUGCAAUAGUUUCAGAGAAUUUCCAUUCACAGGCAAAAGACAGGCUACGUCCACCUGAUCCCAGGAUCCCCUUUGAAUAUUGUUAUGAUAUGAGUCCUGAUGCAAAUGCCAGUCUGAUACCUAGCAUGAGGUUAACUAUGAAAGGAGGAGGCCAUUUUGUUGUUUCUGAUCCAGUAAUUGUCAUAUCCACUCAGAGUGACCUUGUAUAUUGCUUGGCUGUCGUCAAGAGUGCUGAACUCAAUAUAAUUGGACAAAACUUUAUGACUGGCUACCGUGUUGUAUUUGAUCGAGAAAAACUUGUCUUGGGAUGGAAAAAGACAAAUUGUUAUGACAUUGAGGAUUAUAACAUGUUCCCAAUGGAACCCCAUGCUUCCAGUGUGCCG
rnacentral:misc_RNA from 1 species